rnacentral:rRNA from 1 species
AGCCCCUAGCAACACACAAGUAUUGGGGGUAAUGCCUGCCCAGUGACACUGUUUUAAACGGCCGCGGUAUCCUAACCGUGCAAAGGUAGCGUAAUCACUUGUCUUCUAAAUAAAGACUAGAAUGAAUGGCCAAACGAGGUUCUACCUGUCUCUUACAGAUAAUCAGUGAAAUUGGUCUCCCCGUGCAAAAGCGAGGAUAAUCCUAUAAGACGAGAAGACCCUGUGGAACUUUAAACACAAAUCAACUACCAUCAAACACCAAACUAAGGAUUUAUGACCAACUAGUAUAUGAUCCACGUUUUCGGUUGGGGCGACCUCGGAGUAAAGCACAACCUCCGAAAAAAGAGCAUACUUCUCUAAACCUAGACUUACAACUCAAAGUGCUAACAGCAAAAAGAUCCAAUAUAUUUGAUCAACGAACUAAGCUACCCCAGGGAUAACAGCGCAAUCCCAUCCUAGAGCCCUUAUCGACGAUGGGGUUUACGACCUCGAUGUUGGAUCAGGACAUCCUGAUGGUGAAACCGCUAUCAAGGGUUCGUUUGUUCAACGAUUAAUAGUCCU